AUCCCUUCGCCGCCAGCCCCCGACCUCCUCCCCGGCUCCCGGCGCCCGCCGCGCCCCCAUCUCCUCCCCUGAUCCUGGCUCGCCCCGCCCCCACCUUCUCCCUCACUUCGCUCUUUCUCUUUCGCUCGCCACCGUUAGCCAGCCCUCCGCCCCAAGCGCCGCUCCCGCACGCAACCCUAACCCUAGCCCGCCAGCCUUGCCGCUUGAGCCCGCACUGACGGAGCCAGAGCAGCCGGCGGCCGACCCCCGUGGCAGCAGCCGAGCCGGAGGAGGACGACGAGGAGGAGGAGACGGAGGCGGCGAUGGACGACGAGGACGCGCCACUGGACCAUGCGUAGGCCCUGAUCUCGCGGGUCGUCGAGCAGAAGGCCAACCCCAACCCGCGCCUCAUCCACACCCUCGCCACCAUCGCGGAGGACCGGGAGACCAGUGUCUCAACUUUAUACUAACUUUAGUGUAAAGUUGUAUUAAGGUUAAGACACUUAGUUUGGGAUAGAGGAAGUAUUUUUUAUUGUGAUUGCAGAAAAUGGAUCACAACGAUGAGUGCACGUAGUGAGUUAAGGCUCAUCAGAUAAAUCGUUUGGACUAACCAAGAGGAUGAGGUCCUGUGUGGUGGGGCUAGUGGUGUGGCCAGUCAAGUAUGGGUACAGUCUGCUGGAGUCGGUUCUACGUUUUGUGUCACUGGUUGUA